CCCAAGGUGGCGAGUGAUCUGGAGACUGUGACCUGCAGCUGAGGCAGAGAGAGGCAGGGAGAGAACAGAGCUAUGUUUGGUAAGCUGAAGGCUGCUUCCUGGCAUUUCCAGGUAGGGCUGGGAAAACAUCCUUGCCUGCGCAGAACCAUUGCUUGUCAGUGUGGAUGAGGGGUGGCGAAAUCAUCUAUGCACAGUUUCUUAUUCCCCUGCUCUUAUUCUCCCAUCCCGGCCAACAAUUAGGCUUGGGAAAAGUCUUUUCACUUUUUUUCAAGCAUAAGGGGAAGGCAUGUGAUCUUUGGAGAGUCUGACUGGGAAGGCAUUUAGACUUCAUAAAAGUGUUCCUUUUCUAGCAUUUUCUAAUCUACAUCAAGUGCUUUUGGAAGCUGGGUUCCUUGAAACACAUUUCUGUGUGUGCGAGACUUGAAAUGGGGAAACUGGGACAGUCAUUUUUAUUCCUUACUGGACCCUCAGCGGGAGACGCUGAGGGGAGCUGGCAGCCAGAACUUUCUCCUGAAACGCUUGAGAAAAACUGAGUCAGAUUUCCCUGUGGGAAGCAGGGGUAGGAUAGCUCCUGGGGAAAAUACCUUUAAGAUGCUCUUGAAUUACAUUUCACCCAGUUGUCCUACUUUCCAAAGUACCCUACUUUAUAGAGGACAGUCCUCUAUCUCAGGGGAUCUCAAGAGAGAACAGCCCUUUAUUUGGAGAUGUCUUCUGGGACUUCCCAGUCCAAAUCUGGUUUAAAUAUGUGGAGGAUAUGCAGGAGAGGCCUCGAAAAUGUCCAUCAACAUCUGGCUGGCAGAUUGUGUCAGGCACACAGGUCACGGUCUUCCCCACCAGGAUGAGAUUUUAUUUCUGUUAAAAUGAGAAGAGCAUAAAAGAGCCUGCUGGAUGAGGCCAAAGGCCCUUCUAGUCCAGAGUCCCUGUUCUCAGAGUGGCCAACCAGACGCUUGUGGGAAAUGCAAGCAGCAACACACAUGCAAGAGCACUUCCCCCUCCUGUGGCUUCCAGCAACUAGUGUACAGAAGCAUUAAUUGUCUCUGGCGGUGGAGACAGAGCAAUAGCCAUCAUGGCUUGUAGCCAGAUCCACCAGGGCCGAAUUUAGGUUUGAUGAGGCCCUAAGCUAUUGAAGGUAAUGGGGCCCUUUAUGUCCAGCUGUCCUUUGUCAGCAACAAAUCAUCGCUAUUUUUUGUGUUGAAUAUAUGUUAUAUGGUAAUUUAUGGACCUAAUAGGUAUCUAAAGCCAUUUGCACAUGUUGCCAUGCACCCAGUCCAUGCAGAAUAUAGGCACCCUAUAUUCUAUAAAGGCAAACCAGUGAUAUUUUAGGGAGCAGGCUAGCAGGAAGGGGCCAUUACUCACACCAUAGGAGCCUACACAAAACAAAACACUGUUGCUGUAUGUAGGUUUUAUUUUAUUUGUUUUUUAUCUUAAAUUUUGGAAAUGUACAUCCAGUUUUUUUCCUUUGAAUUUUUUUUGGGCCCCCAAGAGAGCGGGGCCCUAAGCUAUAGCUUGUUUAGCUUAUACGUAAAUCCAGCACUGCUAACCACCCAUGGUUUAAAAAAUCCUCUUUUUAAAGCCAUCUGAUUUGUUGGCCAUCACUGCCUCCUGGGGGCGGGAAUUCCAUAGUUUGUGAAACUGUGUGAAGAAGGACUUUAUUUUACCUGUCUUGAAUCUUACAACAUUCAGCUUCAUUGGCUGUUCGUGACUUCUAGUGUUAUGGGGGGAAAAUAAGUCUCUCUCUAUUCUCUCCAUGCCAUACAUUAUUUUAUAAACUUCACCUCUUAUUUGCUUUUUCUUUUUCUUUUUUUUAAGAGUCCCAGUUGCUGCAGCAUUUUAUCAUAGGGGAGUCGAUUCAUCCCCUUGAUCAUCUUGAUUGCACUUUUCUGAACUUUUCCCAACCAUACACAGUAUUCCAAAUGCAGCCGCACCAAAGAUUUGUAUAAUGGCAUUGUGAUAUUGGCAGUUUUAUUCUCAAUUUGCUGCCUAAUGAUGGAAUCUUUCCCUCGCAUGGAGUCUGAUAAUUAUCAUUCCUAUGCAUCCUACACACCCUCUGUUUUGAAGGCAUGUCCCUUUUAUUUAUUUUAUUCAUUUCAUAAAAGUGAUACACCCCUUGAUUGUUUACAAAGAGAAUAAAGCAAUAACAUUAUUGGUAAAAACUAAAAACAACAACAAAGGACACCUAUUUAAAACAUUUUUUUUAAAAUUAAAAUCAGCCAUAAACUAAAAAAAGAAGAAGCUUGAAAUGUUCUACGUAUCUGGGUAGGCUUGUCUACACAAAAAUAUUUUUAGCAGGUGCUGAAAAAUGUACAGUGAAAGCGCUUUUCUGAUGUCAAUAGGCAGGGAUUUCCCAAGUGUGGGUGCUGCCAAAAUCAAAGUUCACUUUAAACAGCAAGAACCUUAUGAAGGGAGGCCUAUGCUGGGAUAGUUCAGCCAGUAGAGCAUGAGACUCUUAAUCUCAGGGUCAUGGGUUUGAGACCCACGUUGCGCAAAAAUAUUCCUGCAUUGCAGGGGGUUGGACUAGAUGACCCUCAUGGUCCUUUCCAACUCUACGAUUCUAAGAUGCUCACCCACACCUGGACAGCAGACCAAACGGGCACACAGCUCACCUGGCCACUGCAAGGAGACGGGUUGUAUGUCUAUUUAAUUUGUGGUCCUAGUUUCUAAAUUUGAACCGACACAUACUGUAUAAAUGCGAAUUGUGUCAUGAACGAUGGGAGUGGAAGUUCAACGAAAACUAGAGGGCAUCGUGUUGGCUACCUCUCUUGUAGCCUUUUCUCCUAGGCCUGGGAAAUUGUUCUGCAUCUUUUCCAUCUCUAACUACGUCAUUUAUUGAGAUGGGGUUGGGGUGGGAAAACACAAAUCUGCGGGUGGUUUUCCUCCCCAGCCCGUUUCCCAAUAACCUCUCGCAUUAAGUUCUUGCUUUAAUGUUCAUUUAAAUCACAUGAAUCUGUUGUGGUGAUGGGUUGAUGCAACUUGCGAAUUUUAGCGUUGGCCAAAGGUGCCAGACUUUGCGAGCUGAUGUCUUUGCGGUGCCUGUGCAAAAAUGAAAGGGCUGCAGAGGUGAUAGCAGCCUGUAAAUAUGAGGUGUGCUGCUGCCAGUGUGCAUUUAAAAUACUUAUCGACAGUCCUUGCAGUUGGGUGAGGGAUCAGAGCCUGCAGUUACAUAUCCAGGGAAAAGGAAUAUCUCCAGGUUUGAAGGGAUGUAAGGUGGGAUCCUUGGGAGGGAUCUGUGCCGUGGAAAUGAAAGCUGGUUCACCUAGCCUUUAUUUGCUUGCUCCUCUUCCCAGAUCUUGGCUGUACUUUGGCCCAUCGGCAGCGGAAAGUUGUUAUGCCUUUGGAAAACGGCCAGCAGAGAACAGCUCUUUCCAUUUGCCCAGAGUGAACUCAUUGCCCCCAAGGUGGUCAAAGGCAUAUCAACUAUUGCUUUAUACAGCUUUAAACCUGCACUUUGAAUUGUUUGUGGAAGAGAAGGAAGGAGGAAGC
rnacentral:lncRNA from 1 species